ensembl:lncRNA
GUCGCGAAAGAGGAGGAGCUCUCAUCAGCUUUUCAAUUCAUUUCUAAAACAAUGGCGGACGAGAUGGCUACGGUGGCUAGCAAUAGCUCACGAGGCUGCAGACCGUAAAUGCCAAAGAAAAGGACUCACUCUGAAGACUUUUCCAAACAACACUUUGAACAGGUUUCCCCAUCUCCUCCCAUACCAUGGGCCAGAGGAGCACGACCACCUGGGUGAGGAGUUUCUAAAUUAUCAGACCAUGCCAACCACCUCCCUUCAGGACGAAACUGAGAUGGAAAGCUUCUGGGCUGGAAUGGCAACACGGAAACAUAAGGUGGCAGGAACCAAAGAAUUUGAGAGGCUUGUUGCCGUCGCCAAGCUGGUCCUGGUGUUGCCCCAUUCGAAUGCAGAUGCUGAGAGGGUGUUUUCAGUGUUCAGUGGGACUGAACAAAACUAAGACCAGAAAUAGCCUGCCAUUGGAUGGCACCCUGUCUUCAAUAAUGGCCAUAAAGAUGGCCGACCUGGAGCCCUGUUUCAGAUGGGAGCCCCCCUCAGAGGUCAUCAAGGCCUCCAAGAAGGCCACAGGCCAGUACAACCUUGCCCACAGAUCUUAGAAAAUGACUAACCAGGUUCUGAUCUGCACCUGAUACCUCAUUUUUAGUUAUUUUUGUCAUGUGUUGAUCUAUUUUAUUGCUUAAAAAGGCUACUGUUUAAGCACUUUAUUUGUUGCACUUUUUUGUUUGAUGGAACGUGUGGUGGGAGGCUUUGAAUAGUGAAAAAUAUUUCUCCCUAACUAAUCUUGUGUCAUUUUUUGCUGUUCAUAAAUCGUUAAGUGCUCAUAAAUCAUUAAAUACAAUUAUUAACAAUAUAGGUUAGGUUCCAGUUAAGAAUUAGUUGAAUACCAUUGUAAUCAAAAUGUCAAUCAACCUACCUUGGUAAAAUCUUAAACACAGGUCUAUUAAUUAGGCUAUAUUGUGGUACAUAGACAGUCAUUGAGGCACAAGAAUAGUUUUCUGGUUGAAUGUUCAGCUCAAGUCUAAAAGGCCCUACAAGUCAUGAUCAGAUGAACAUGAAUCAGAAUAAGUUCAGGUAUUGCACAUCUUUAGCAUACCACCCAAAAAUCCACUAGAAUGCAGGAAAUAACAUCUACUUAAACCAAAAUGUCCUGGGGGUGGACCUUCAGCUAUGUCUUUGCUUCACAGAAUGUAACCAAUGUUGUCCAUUUCCAGUAGGCCCCACAGUAGGCAGACUUUGGGCCCCAAAAACCAACAGAAUGCAGAGCACAACAUGGGUACAACGCCAAAUUAAUUCCAAUUCCCUGAUAUCUGAGCCACCCAACGUGUGUAGCUGCGAGUGCGGCAACAUUUUCUCACUCCAAGGUUUUUUGAAAAGUUGGCAGCUCUGUGGUGACACGUUUUAGUACACUUUGCAGUGAGUGUGUUUGCCCUACAAUGCUAAAAAGUUGCAGUCAAAUUUGGCAAAAUUGCUAGCUUGGAUAUUAUCUUUACAUUUAGAUGGGUUGGUGGUUACAAACAAUGAGGAUGCGCAUGCAGCUUCAAGGCAGAACAAUGCCUACCAUUUCACCUUUACUGUAUAUGUUCCAUCCACCCCCCCUUUCUGAAUAAAGUUCCAUUGAUCUGAUUUGUUGCUAUCUGU